rnacentral:rRNA from 1 species
CUCAGAAAAAAUCUKAGGUGCAACCUGCCCAAUGGCUUCAAAAAAUAAGACAUAAACAACUUUAAUAAAGCUUAAAGGACGCAGUAACCUAACUGUGAUAAUGUAGCGUAAUCAUUCGCCACUUAAUUAGUGGAUAGUAUGAAUGGUCAAACGAAUUUCCCACUGUCUAAAAAAGAGGAAUCAUGAAAUUAAAAUAAUAGUUAAGAUGCUAUUUAAAGUUGUAAGACGAAAAGACCCUAUAGAGCUUAACUAUAAUCUCCCUAAAAGAACAUUUUACAAAACAGAGAGAAUGGUAGUUUAGUUGGGGCGACUACCUUUUAAAAAUAACAAAGGUAAGCUACGUUAAUAAAAGACUUACUGUACAACCCAUAAGUUUAACAGUUACUAAAGUAGGCUAUAAUGACCCGUUGAAUUCUAGUAACAAAUUCAACGAUCAAUAAACAAAAGCUACCUUAGGGAUAACAGGAUAAUUUAGUCCCAGAGAUCUUAUCGAAGACAAAGUUUAUCACCUCUAUGUUGAAUUAAGAUACCCCAGCGGGGCAAAACUGCUAAAGGUAGGUCUGUUCGACCUUUAAAU